UACGUAGGGAGCAAGCGUUGUCCGGAAUCAUUGGGCGUAAAGCGCGCGUAGGUGGCUUCGUAAGUCCGCUGUGAAAGUCAAAGGCUCAACCUUUGAAAGCCGGUGGAUACUGCGGAGCUAGAGUCCGGAAGAGGCGAGUGGAAUUCCUGGUGUAGCGGUGGAAUGCGCAGAUAUCAGGAGGAACACCAAUAGCGAAGGCAGCUCGCUGGGACGGUACUGAC
rnacentral:rRNA from 1 species